GUCUUGGUGGCGCAGUUGGCUAGCGCGUUGGUCUCAUAUCAUUGAUAUGAUCCAACCCCAGGUUGGGCUAUCCAAAGGUCGUGAGUUCAAGCCUCACCCAGGACA